UUAAAGCGUUGCCCACAAAACU
rnacentral:piRNA from 1 species